rnacentral:rRNA from 1 species
GACAGAGGAGCCAAGCGUUGUCCGGAUUGACUGGGCGUAAAGCGCACGCAGGCGGCCCGGCGCGUGGGGUGUGAAAGCUGGCGGCUUAACUGCCAGACGCCAUCCCAUACGGCUGGGCUCGAGCCCUGCAGACGGUCCAUGGAAUUGCCGGUGUAGUGGUGAAAUGCGUAGAUAUCUGGAGGAACACCGGUGGCGAAGGCGGCAUCCUGGACCAACACUGACACUGAGGAGCGA